rnacentral:lncRNA from 1 species
UUUUUUCUCUAUGUGAACAUUUAUAUUUAUUAUUUUUAAAAAAUUGAAACACUAAAGUUGAUUAUUAUUAUUUAAAGCUGGAGCACGGGAAGCACUGAGAGCACCUGAUAUUUCCCCCUUGUAUAUAAUGAUGACCGAUGAAGAAGCUGAGAUAGGAGGUUACACUCUUGAAGUACAGUGCCAUGAAGAAGCUGAGAUAGGAGGUUACACUCUUGAAGUACAGUGCCCCUAAUAAUUACAAUUAGCGCUAAACAUUGGAGUAUGGGCUGUCGGAUCUGUAAGUAUGGAUAAGCAGGAUUGAUUUGGAACUUUAGAUCUCCCAAUUCAAGCACUUAUAAGGUAGCCUAUGUGCACGUUGAUAUUAUUACACAUUAAUUAAGUGAAACUCAUCAUUUUGUUCUUGAUUUCAAAUGAUAUUAUCAAACGAUGGUUGAUCAUUUUGCUUUGCUCAACGUUGCAUUUACUGUGUUACAAAAAAUGACCAAAUACAAAAGACACAAGAUAAUCCGAUAGAAUAACAGGGCAGAAUCUCUUGAUUCAACCAAAACACAACCACACCAAUUUCACGAUUACCAUUACAAAGCAAAUCCCACAAUUAUCAGAAAGUUUUCAAGACACUCAACAUCUGACAGUUACUGACACCAACAUUGGAGAGUCGACUGACAACCAUAGAUAAGAGCAAAAAUACUGAAGACAGCAUAGAUUUUAGCAUACAGUGCGAUUAGCACUUGACCUCUUUCAGCCCAUGUGCAAAGUACAGGAAAGUUGGAUCAGCAGCUCCCUCCUUGUAGUAGGCGAACACCACGCCGCCAUCAUCAUGCAUGCUCUCGCCAACAAAGCUGAAACACCAGUUUUAGAACUUGCGUAAGUUGAAUGGAUAGAUUAUUACUACCUUCCCAAAAAUAUAAAAAAAUUCCGUCACUGAUUUAACUUCAAUAGAAUAAAUUACCAGUAUCUAAAAUACCAAAGUAAUAAAGUACUAACGUGUCUGGACAGAUCAAUGAUAGACAGUGCCUGCACUUUUGAGCAAGGCAAAGAGAGAACUUACAACUGAAGGUCCUUGAGCUUGCUAAGAAGAUACUUUGUGGCGGACUCAACAUUCUUCUUGAAAGCAUCUAGGUCAUCCCCUUCAAGCUUGGCAGAGAGGUUCUUGAUGUAGCGCUUCAUGUGAGAGAUAAACUGCUUCUUGUCAAAAGCAGG